CUCUUCCACAGUAGACAAAAUCACCACCUGUAGCAAAAGAUGAAUGCAGACAUUUCAGUUGUUCAGAGGACAUAUGGUACACUUGAGUGUUUCAGAUGUACUAUCAUGAAAAGAUAUGAAGUGCAAGUCACAUGUUGUUGCUCCAGCUGUGAUGGUGAGCAUGCAAGAUAUGGUUUGCAAGAUGAGCCCUUCAAAGAUAUCAAUCAUAUACAGCAUGCUGCCCAAGAGCCUAAUGGUUAAAACAUCUCUGUUGACAUAUUCCUCUGGUUUGAUCUACAAGUCAUAGAAGUUAUAGUCAUAGAAUCACUAAGUUUGGAAAAGACUUACAAGAUCAUCUGGUCCAACCAUCCCCCUACCACCAACAUCACCCGCUAAACCA